CAGGUGAUCUGUUUUAUGCUGACUUGUCAUCCUGCUUGGCACAAGGAGUACCAGAGACCACUAGACAGCAAGAUUCCAACGGACCCCUUCGAUCUGUCUGAAUUUUCAGCUUUUCAUUUUACCUGGCCGAACACCCCAAGGACGCUAGAAACAUUUGCUGCGAUCAAAUCGGGAAAAGACAUGUUUGCCGAGCUUGGACGGAAGAUCCUAGAGAAAAGUGGCAGGAUCCAUGAGCUGGAUAAAGUGUGAUACCAGAAGUAC